rnacentral:rRNA from 1 species
UAGGGAAUCUUCGGCAAUGGGGGGAACCCUGACCGAGCAACGCCGCGUGAGUGAAGAAGGUUUUCGGAUCGUAAAGCUCUGUUGUUAAGGAAGAACGAGUGUGAGAAUGGAAAGUUCAUGCUGUGACGGUACUUAACCAGAAAGGGACGGCUAACUACGUGCCAGCAGCCGCGGUAAUACGUAGGUCCCGAGCGUUGUCCGGAUUUAUUGGGCGUAAAGCGAGCGCAGGCGGUUAGAUAAGUCUGAAGUUAAAGGCAGUGGCUCAACCAUUGUAGGCUUUGGAAACUGUUUAACUUGAGUGCAGAAGGGGAGAGUGGAAUUCCAUGUGUAGCGGUGAAAUGCGUAGAUAUAUGGAGGAACAACAGUGGCGAAGGCGACUCUCUGGUCUGUAACUGACGCUGAGGCUCGAAAGCGUGGGUAGCAAACAGG